UCAUUCCCAUUCAUUUUUCUCCGCCUCUCUAUCUGUCUCUCUGAGUCUGAAGAACAAGAGUAUGAGUGAUUGAAAUCGAAGAUUUGUUCUUCGUACUGGUAAUUAGGGUAUUCAGAUCUCUAUUUCUGUUAACGUGAAGAUGAAGAGAAAAAAGGAGAAGGCGAAGUCGAUUAAGCCGGGAUAUGUUCAUUAUCCCUACAGGAACAUCAGUGUGUAUGUUCAGAUGAGUAAGAUGACAGUAGAAUUCCCUCACAUAGACAAAGAAGAAAUUGAUUUGAAGAGAUUUGAGAAAAUGUUGUAUGCAAGGUUGGGACUGGAAAAAAAGAAAUAGUGAACUUGUAUUACACACCUGAUGAUCCAUGUUCCCCUGAAUCUUUGUUAACAAAUGAUGACUUCUUUAAGUUCUGGGACACUUCUGUAUCUGACGAAGCUGAUUUAUUGAAUGAAGUUUUCUGGAGAACUUUGAUCAACAAGGAGGAGCAUCUAGGAAAUUAUAUAUGUUUUGUGGAUUUAUUGAAUGAAGUGCAGAGUAUGUCAUGUUUGAGUCAAGCAAGUAGAGUUGGAACUAAUACAACAUAGAGUAGCAGUCAACCAUGUCAACAGAAGUUUGAUCAACCAAGUCAAGAGAGUAUGUCAUGUUUGAGUCAAGCAAAUAGAGUUGGAACUAAUACAACACAAGACAAGUUUGAUCAACCAAGUCAAGAGAGCUUUAACCAUGAUUACUGGUUUAAUGUACACAUGGAAGCACUGUGUACAAUGAUGAGAAUCAAUCUGAAGAUGAGGAAAAUGUACAACUAGAGAACACUGAGUUAGAUGAGUGUAACCCAGUUGAAGAUCUAGAUGACCCUUUAAUAUUUGAUAGUGAUGAAGAUGAUGAGAAGGAUUAUGCUGAAUAUUUAAAGACAUAUAAAGUUCUAGCUCACAAUGAGGAAUCAAGUACCAGUGAAGGUAUGAAAAGUGGUAAAUCUUGAAUAAUAGUAUACCUCCAGUAGCAGUGAGGAUUAUGCUGCAAGAACAUCCUCUCAUGGAAAACCACCUCCAGUACCAAACACUCAAAGAUCUGCAUCUGCAGGGCCUAGUAACACACAAAGUUUCAGUCAAUCUUUUGCUGGUAUUGAAUAUGUGGAUCAGAAUAUUGCUACUGUUACACAGGCUAAGGGAAAGCAGAGAAAGAAUGCAAACAAGAAGUAAUGUGUGUGUCUGUUUUGCUUUUUUUGUUGGAUCUGUGAUCCUUUCUUACAGUGUUUGUCUUUUGUUUCAACUGCUUUUAGGUCUGAACUUUUUUAUGGAUGACAAAACAAUAUGGAUUUUAAGUACAUUUUAAUAUUAAUCAAGUUUAUUAGUUUAAAGUAUUGCAGAUUACAUUGUAAGCUUUUUGCUAACUUCCUUACAUAUUUCUUUGACAUGAAUACUUGAAUGCAUAAUACUUUCCCUUGCAACAAUGACUAUGUGAUCAGAAACCCACAUGAAAGCUUCACAAUAUGUGCAGAUUGCGCAGUGGACAUUUGUUGUAGGAGUGACCAGCUUCUCCACAAGCACAAGAACAAAUCUUAAAUAACAGCUUGAUAUCAGCACAUCCGACUACAUCAAUGGCUAAAGCAAACCAUUCAAAGUAUCUGCAGGUAGGAUUUGAGCACCUGAAGAACAUUUCACCUUCUGUUUCAGUUGUCUUUGAUCUAAGUAAUUGUCUUAUGCCAUUACAAGGUAUAUGUUUACACCUAGAAUACAUCCAAGGACAAACCUUUGAUUCAUGGCUUCCUACAGCACAAAUUGAACAUAAAUUUGAGAAUAUGACCGUUAAAAAAGGGGAUUAAAUCUGGGCCAUUGAUUGUUUACUACAAGAUAGUGACACGUGUCAGCCGACCGAUACCGAAGUUCGCACGUGUAGAUAACGUGCUGUCACUCAUGACCCGAGUUCAUGUUGAGUCAUAGUUCCAACGCGGGCCGAUCCAGCUGAUUUAGGGGUUAGAAUGUCAUUUGACAUAGCAUAUUUAGUGCCACAUGUCAUGUAACGUCCGUUAGCCGUUUUUUGAAAAAACGGGACGGAAAAGGUCAACUCAUGGGAAUUUUCUUAAUUUUCAAAAAACGUUGGAAUUUUCUUAAUUACAUUUCCCCUCAUGGACAUUUU